rnacentral:rRNA from 1 species
UACGUAGGGUGCGCGCGUUGUCCGGAAUUACUGGGCGUAAAGCGCGCGCAGGCGGCUAUCCAAGUCAGUGGUGAAAGCCCGGAGCUCAACUCCGGAACUGCCAUUGAAACUGUUUAGCUUGAGGACGAGAGAGGUGGGUGGAAUUCCCAGUGUAGAGGUGAAAUUCGUAGAUAUUGGGAAGAACACCGGUGGCGAAGGCGGCUCACUGGCUCGUUUCUGACGCUCAGGCGCGACAGCGUGGGGAUCAAACAGG